rnacentral:lncRNA from 1 species
CUGUGGUUUCACUGCUGUUCAAGGGCUCUGUUUUGACUGCAAGAAGAGACACUACGUAGAAGAAUAAGUACAGAAAAUAAGCUGCAUUCAUACUAAGUGAGCAUCAACAAGCACCUCUUGAUCUCUAGGACAGCAAACCAAAAUCAUUACAUGCAAUAAAAUGGAAGCAAAAUCCUUUUAUAGAAGACAAGCACCGUAUUUCUCAACCAAAUGCAAGCUUACACACCAAAUGUUUUGAUUUCAAAAGAAACAAUAUUUUAAUGUCCUAGGUUGAAGAGUUUUGUGGGAUUAUUAUUCUGUAUCUUCAAAGUAAGUGAGGGAGAAGAAAUGGAAACUCUUAAAAAAGAACUAAAUAAAAUUUCUAGAAUGAAAAUAACAAUAUAUUACAUAAGUAUUAUUUGAGUGGACUUAACAGCAUAUUGGACAUUGCAAAAGAAAGGACCAGGAUAUCUGAAGCUGGGCCAAUGCAAAUUAUCCAAACUGAAGCACAGAGGAAAAAAGUGGGAGUGGAAAC